GAUGAACGCUGGCGGCGUGCUUAACACAUGCAAGUCGAACGAAGCACUUUGGAAUGAGUUUUCGGACAAGUGAAGAAGUGACUUAGUGGCGGACGGGUGAGUAACGCGUGGGUAACCUGCCUUGUACAGGGGGAUAACAGUUAGAAAUGACUGCUAAUACCGCAUAACCCGCUAAGGUCGCAUGACCUGGACGGAAAAGAUUUAUCGGUACAAGAUGGACCCGCGUCUGAUUAGCUAGUUGGUGGGGUAACGGCCCACCAAGGCGACGAUCAGUAGCCGGCCUGAGAGGGUGAACGGCCACAUUGGGACUGAGACACGGCCCAAACUCCUACGGGAGGCAGCAGUGGGGAAUAUUGGGCAAUGGGGGAAACCCUGACCCAGCAACGCCGCGUGAAGGAAGAAGGCCUUCGGGUUGUAAACUUCUUUUAGCAGGGACGAAGGACGUGACGGUACCUGCAGAAAAAGCAACGGCUAACUACGUG
rnacentral:rRNA from 1 species